UAACACAUGCAAGUCAAACGGCCUUCGGGCAGUGGCAAACGGGUGAGUAACGCGUUGGUAUCUACCUCUAUCUCGGGUAUAAUUCGCCGAAAGGCGGACUAAUCCCCGAUAGUCUCGCAAGAGUAAAGAUUCGUCGGAUAGAGAGGAACCUGCGUCCUAUCAGCUUGUUGGUGAGGUAAUGGCUCACCAAGGCAAUGACGGGUAGCUGGUCUGAGAGGAUGAUCAGCCACAAUGGGACUGAGAUACGGCCCAUACUCCUACGGGAGGCAGCAGUGAGGAAUUUUGCGCAAUGGACGAAAGUCUGACGCAGCAACGCCGCGUGAAGGAUGAAGUAUCUAGGUAUGUAAACUUCUUUUUAAGGGGACGAAGUAUGACGGUACCCUUAGAAUAAGCAUCGGCUAACUACGUGCCAGCAGCCGCGGUAAUACGUAGGAUGCGAGCGUUAUCCGGAUUUAUUGGGCGUAAAGCGUCUGUAGGCGGUUUGUUAAGUUGGAGAUGAAAUACUCAGGCUCAACUUGAGGAACGUUUCCAAAACUAACAGACUAGAGGAAGGAAGAGGCUAGCGGAACUUGUGGUGUAGGGGUAAAAUCCGUAGAUAUCACAGGGAACGCCAAAUGCGAAAGCAGCUUGCUGGUCCUUUUCUGACGCUCAGAGACGAAAGCGUGGGUAGCGAACGGGAUUAGAUACCCCGGUAGUCCACGCCGUAAACGAUGUCUACUAGGUAUCGGCUGUAUCGACCCAGCCCGUGCCGAAGCUAACGCGUUAAGUAGACCGCCUGGGGAGUACGGUCGCAAGACUAAAACUCAAAGGAAUUGACGGGGGCUCGCACAAGCGGUGGAGCAUGUGGUUUAAUUCGACGGUACGCGAGGAACCUUACCAAGGCUUGACAUCCUCGGAAUCCGUGAGAAAUCAUGGAGUGCCUUUUAGGAAUCGAGAGACAGGUGCUGCAUGGCUGUCGUCAGCUCGUGCUGUGAAGUGUCGGGUUAAGUCCCUUAACGAGCGCAACCCCUGUUGUAUGUUGUAUUUUCGUACAAGACUGCCCCGGUGACGGGGAGGAAGGUGGGGAUGACGUCUAGUCAGCAUGGCCCUUAUGCCUUGGGCGACACACAUGCUACAAUGGCCGGUACAACGGGUCGCGAAGCCGCAAGGUGGAGCUAAUCCCACAAAACCGGUCCAAGUUCGGAUUGAAGGCUGAAACUCGCCUUCAUGAAGCCGGAAUCGCUAGUAAACGCAUAUCAGCCACGGUGCGUUGAAUACGUUCUCGAGCCUUGUACACACCGCCCGUCACACCACGAAAGUUAGUAGUACCUGAAGUC
rnacentral:rRNA from 1 species